rnacentral:rRNA from 1 species
AAUAUCAAAGGUGAGCCAGUACAGGAUGGACCCGCGUCUGAUUAGCUAGUUGGUAAGGUAACGGCUUACCAAGGCGACGAUCAGUAGCCGACCUGAGAGGGUGAUCGGCCACAUUGGAACUGAGACACGGUCCAAACUCCUACGGGAGGCAGCCGUGGGGAAUAUUGCACAAUGGGCGAAAGCCUGAUGCAGCAACGCCGCGUGAGUGAUGAAGGCCUUCGGGUCGUAAAACUCUGUCCUCAAGGAAGAUAAUGACGGUACUUGAGGAGGAAGCCCCGGCU